GAGUUUGAUCCUGGCUCAGAAUCAACGCUGGCGGCGUGCCUAACACAUGCAAGUCGAACGCGAAAGUGGAGCAAUCCAUGAGUAGAGUGGCAAACGGGUGAGUAACGCGUGGGAACGUACCCUUUACUACGGAAUAACGCAGGGAAACUUGUGCUAAUACCGUAUGUGCCCUUUUGGGGAAAGAUUUAUCGGUAAGGGAUCGGCCCGCGUUGGAUUAGCUAGUUGGUGGGGUAAAGGCCUACCAAGGCGACGAUCCAUAGCUGGUCUGAGAGGAUGAUCAGCCACAUUGGGACUGAGACACGGCCCAAACUCCUACGGGAGGCAGCAGUGGGGAAUAUUGGACAAUGGGCGAAAGCCUGACGGAGCGACGCCGCGUGAGCGAUGAAGGCC
rnacentral:rRNA from 1 species